rnacentral:tRNA from 1 species
UCCCUUGUUACUCAGCUGGUAAAGUAUCUGCCUGCAAUGCAGGAGACCUGGGUUCGAUCCCUGGGUCGGGAA